GGGGUGGAGCAGUCUGGUAGCUCGUCGGGCUCAUAACCCGAAGGUCAUCGGUUCAAAUCCGGUCCCC
rnacentral:tRNA from 1 species